GGCCUCGUGGCGCAACGGUAGCGUGUUCGACUCCAGAUCGAAAGGUUAUCCGUUCAACUCGGGUCGGGGUCA
rnacentral:tRNA from 1 species